CUGCGGGUGAGCCCCUGCAGUGCAGUUUCGAAGCGCUGGCACCACGUUUACUUCCAAUAGCAAAAAUUUCAGGUUUCGGAAGACUAAUCAUAAGAGUAGUCCAAGAGGAUGUGGCCACCACUGAGUGCUUUGCCUGCCAGGGACAGCAGGGCGACAUACAGCAGUGGGAGGAUGCGUCUCCAGAGUGAUCCUGCUCGAGGGGCUUUGGCGGCGCUCUGGCAAGGUUGACUCCCACUGCCAUCCCAGAGGGUGCUGCGGAGCUGCCUUUGCUGGCAGCGCUAUCAUCCUUCCAGCGAUUAGCGGGUGCCGCCUGCGACACAGCAUCACUCUGGAGGAGAAAUUCAACUUGCUGUAAUAAAAGUUUUGUGAAAUUCA
rnacentral:lncRNA from 1 species